AUUGGGAUGAUUAUAAGAAGCAGGAACAACUUGAAACAGCCAGGAAGUUUCUAUAUUAUGAAAUGGGCUAUAAAUCUCGAUCAGAACAGUUAACAGAUCGCUCUGAAAUUAGCCUACUGCCUUCAGACAUUGACAGCUGAUGAGUGCUAUUCAAAAAGGAAGGGUAUCUGGAAGCCGGCUUGCUAUACUAAUGAAAACUGCAGAAGAGAACCUCGACAGAAGAGUUCCAAUUCCAGUGGACCGUAGUUGUGGAGGAUUGUGAGUCUGGGCAGUAAAUCCACAGCCAACAAACAUAGAAACGACAAAUCACCAUGUAACAACCAGAGAUGACUGAAACCACUCUGAAAUAAUGAAUGUGGAUAGCUGCCUUUUUUAACACUAGAAAACAUUCCAAAACUUUAAGGUGUUGGUGUAUUUGCCAGCUUUAUUUGCUGUACUUUAUUUGUAUUUGCCAUUCAGUCUAGCUUUUAAGUAUAUUUUUUUCUUUUUCUCAUUUUCAAUGCACAUUAGUUUUGCAUCUGUUUUGUGACCUGUUAGAUGUGACACAUUCUCUUUUUGUUUAUUCCCUUAUUCUAAAUGAGUUCUAAAAACAUAAUAUUUUGGCAAAAAUUGAAAAAAGCUGGAGACAUUUUGUGACAUGCAUACAGAUAGCAUGUGUUAUUAAAAAGAGUUGCCUAUUGAAAUGAUCAUGUUUCUGGAGAAAUUAAGCUUAUAGACAGCAUGUGUUAUUAAAAAGAGUUACCUAUUGAAAUGAUAGUGUUUCUGGAGAUUUCUCAGCCCCAUCUUCCUCCAGCUUGUCUACCUUCCUCAUGCAAACAAUAUUCCACAUUUUUAUAUCUAGAGCAUGACUGGCUAACUGGAGAGGGAAGGAAAAGUUUAGAUCUGGUUACUGGAGCAAGUCUCAAAGAGAAACUCUGAAAGCUUCCAGAAUCACAGGUAUAAGAUAAGGAUAGCAUUGACAUUUGCUGGGAGUUACAGUGAUAGUUUCAUCUCAGCAGUUCAUUUUUUUCUUCAGUCACUGCUGGUUUUCUUUGACUAUUAUAGUUGCCAGGAAGAUCCUUGCUCUUCUUACUUUAAAACCAGCAUUUAAGUGGCAAUUUGGAUGUAAUAGGAUGAGACCAAAUUUAUCUAAUUAUUACAGUAGUAAUACAUUUAAGAGUUAAAAAUGUGUUUUUAUAUAUCCACAUAUGAUAACAAAAGAUUCAAUUCCCAAGCCUAAAUUUUGAAGCAUGUGGUAUUGUCAAAUCUAGCUUACCAUCUUUUUUGGGGGUACUUGCAACCAUAGUAAAGGAAGAUGGAAUAGACUUUAGUUAACUUUAAUUAUAAUUAUAUGUUAAAUAAGGCACAUAACCAGUUUCCAAGGUCAUCAUGGUUGCUUAAAGUCUUUCCCCUUCUGUACUCCAUGGAAAUAUUCUCAGUAAA
rnacentral:lncRNA from 1 species